AUUACUAAGCGGAGGAAAAGAAAUUAACAAAGAUUGCCUUAGUAAGGGCGACUGAACCGGCAAAAGCUCGAAAUUGGAAUCGGCUGUUCAAUGAACUACCGAAUUGUAAUCAGGCUGCCCUAAAUACAAAUGUUGACCCAAUUACUUCGAAAAGUAAGCCAAAGAGGGUGAAAGCCCCGUGCGGUCUUCGUUUGAGUAAGGGAAGUCCCAAAAGAGUCGGGUUGCUUGGAACUGCAGCCCUAAGAGGGAGAUAUGAUUCUUCCAAAGCUAAAUAAGGAUGGGAGACCGAUAGCAAACAAGUACUGUGAAGGAAAGAUGAAAAGGACUUUGAAAAGAGAGUGAAAAGAUCUGAAAUCGUUGAGAAGAAAGCGGUAAAAACUGAUGGAUCUUAUGAUGGGGCAACGAGGUGAACAGCCUUGAAGUUUCUACCAAAAGAUCGGGCAAAAUGAGGUUGAAUGGACUAAAAAAGGGUCAAACCGGAAAGAGCCCAAACAGCCUGAGGGACUAUUGUGAUUUUGCCAAAAUGGUUUUUACCGUCCCGUCUUGAAACACGGACCAAGGAGUCUAUUUUAUAUGCGAGUGUGCGAGUGGAAAAACUCAUACGCGAAAUGAAAGUGAAAGGUGCACGGCGCAAGCUUCAGCAUCGACCGACCCAGGAAGAAGGGUUUGAGUAUGAGCAUAUAGAAUAGGACCCGAAAGAUGGUGAACUAUGCCUGAGUAGGGUGAAGUCAGGGGAAACCCUGAUGGAGGCUCGUAGACGUCCUAACGUGCAAAUUGGUGUUAAAACUUGGGUAUAGGGGCGAAAGACUAAUCGAACCAUCUAGUAGCUGGUUCCCUCCGAAGUUUCCCUUAGGAUAGCUGGAACAAAUAUGCAGUUUUAUCAGGUAAAGCGAAUGAUUAGUGGCCUCAGGGCGCUUUUUGCCUUGACCAAUUCUCAAACUUUAAAUUGGUAAGAACUCGUUGUUUUCUUAAAUGAACAUAGAGACAGAAUGCAUGUUCCAAGUGGGCCAUUUUUGGUAAGCAGAACUGGCGAUGAGGGUUGAACCUAGCGUCGAGCUAAGGUGCCUAACUAUACGCUCAUGAGAUACUUUAAAAGGUGUUGAUUCAUCUAAACAGCAGGGCGGUGGACAUAAAAGUCGUUAUCCGCUAAGGAGUGUGUCAUGACUCACCUGCCGAAUGAAUUAGCCCUGAAAAUGGAUGGCGCUAAAGCGUAUGACCGAUACUCGACCAACAUUACAAAAGUCAGUAGUGUUGAGUAGGAGGGCGUGGAUGUUGUGGGAAGCCUUUGACGUGAGUCUGGGUGGAACGGCAUCUAGUGCAGAUCUUGGUGGUAGUAGCAAAUAGCCAAUUGGAAACGUUGGCGGCCGAAGUGGAGAAGGGUUCUCUGAGAACAGUAAUUGGUCAGAGGUUACGCGGUCCUAAGUUCCUGGUUAAAUCUAUAUAAGGUGCUCUAUAGCACGGAACAAAAGGGAAUCAGGUUGAAAUUCCUGACGCUAAAAUGGAUUCGUGGCAACACAAUCUAACUCGAAGACGUCAGCACGUGCUCCUGGAAGGGUUUUCUUUUCUUCUUAACAAGCAGAUGGCCUUGAAAUUGGUUUACCCAGAGAGAAGGCUAUAAGCUUGGCAGAGCAUCUCGCUUUUCAGAGAUGUCAGGUGCGCUCGUGAUGACCCUUGAAAAUUUGAGUCAGAACAAUCCAUUUUGGGCCGUACCCAUAACCGC
rnacentral:rRNA from 1 species